CUUGGUCAUUUAGAGGAAGUAAAGGUGGUAACAAGGUUUCUGUAGGAGAACCUGCGGAAGGAUCAUUAAAAAAGUUUGGCUUCGGCGGAAUGCGAAAAGUACGAGCCGCCAGGAACUCCCGUCGGCGCCCUCCAACCUACCUGCAACUGUUGGGGUGUGUGCUAUGAAAUGGAGUUGGCGUACAAAUCGAAUGGACGGGGGGGAUUGACCGGUCGGGCUUAACGCGUGUCAACCCUCCGUGAAACUUCCCCUUUGCUUGGGCAGCACACCCACGGUUUGCCGUGGGCCGGUCAGUCUGCCCGAAGCACCAACCCAAACCACUUGUUUGAACUUUUGUCCGAACCAGUCCAAUGACUUUUAAAACUUUCAACAACGGAUCUCUUGGUUCUCGCAUCGAUGAAGAACGCAGCGAAACGCGAUAGGUAAUGUGAAUUGCAGAAUUCAGUGAAUCAUCGAAUCUUUGAACGCACAUUGCACCCUCUGGUAUUCCGGGGGGUAUGCCUGUUCGAGCGUCAUUUCAACCUUCAACCCCAGCUUGGUAUUGGGUGUUCGCCUGGCAAUAGUUAGGUGCACCUUAAAAUCAGUGGCAGUGCCGUCUGGCUUCAAGUGUAGUAAAAUUCUCGCUUUGGAGUUUGGGUGCGUGCUUUUGCCAUAUAACCAAUUUUUCAAUGGUUGACCUCGGAUCAGGUAGGGAUACCCGCUGAACUUAAGCAUAUCAAUAAGCGGAGGA
rnacentral:rRNA from 1 species